CUCCUAGAUGUUCUGGGCUGAAGAUGCAGCCAAGACAACAGUACAACAAAGACAAUCAAAGUGCAUCAGCAGAUGCAGCUGGUAUUUUCCAGUCCAACGACUUUCUACGAUUGUCGCACUACAUCGUGCUAAGACAAAGUCUAAUUGAAUCAAUCGGGUCAUGGCACGCGCACUACACUGAUGGAGAAAACGAGUUACACUCUUCAUGAGUCCUGCUUCGAGAGGAGUGGGAAAUCUUUGAAAACUCCAUCGUGACUGGGAUAGAUGAUUGCAAUUAUUCGCCUUGAACGAGGAAUGCCUAGUAGAGUCAAUUCAUCAGAUUGACUCGAUUACGUCCCUGUCAUUUGUACACACCGCCCGUCGUUGCUACCGAUUGGCUGUAAAAUAGAGGAUUUAGGAGAACCGGUGACUACUCCGGUAGCUCACAUGGCUUCAAAUUUGUCCGAUAUUUCACUGCUAGAGGAAGCAAAAGUCGUAACA
rnacentral:rRNA from 1 species